rfam:Mesocricetus auratus contig123805, whole genome shotgun sequence.
UAGCUCAGUGGUUAAGAGCACUGGCUGCUCUUCCAGAGGUCCUGAGUUCAAUUCUCAG